GAUGAAGAACGCAGCGAAAUGCGAUACUUGGUGUGAAUUGCAGAAUCCCGUGAACCAUCGAGUCUUUGAACGCAAGUUGCGCCCGAAGCCAUCAGGUUGAGGGCACGUCUGCCUGGGCGUCACAUAUCGUUGCCCAAUGCCUAUUGCAGUGCAAUAGGAAUUUCUAGGGCGAAUGAUGGCUUCCCGUGAGCGUUGUUGCCUCGCGGUUGGUUGAAAAUCGAGUCCUUGGUAGGGUGUGCCAUGGUAGAUGGUGGUCGAGUUAGAACGAUACCGAUCAUGUGCAUGCUCCCCAAAAUAUGGCCUCUAUGACCCACACGCGUCUUUUGACGCUCAUGACGAGACCUCAGGUCAGGCGUGGCUACCCGCUGAAUUUAAGCAUACAAUAAGCGGAGGA
rnacentral:misc_RNA from 1 species